rnacentral:rRNA from 2 species
UGAUCCAGCAUUCUGUGUGCACGAUGAAGGUUUUCGGAUCGUAAAGUGCUUUCAGUAGGGAAGAAGAAAGUGACGGUACCUACAGAAGAAGCGACGGCUAAAUACGUGCCAGCAGCCGCGGUAAUACGUAUGUCGCAAGCGUUAUCCGGAAUUAUUGGGCGUAAAGGGCAUCUAGGCGGUCAAUCAAGUCGAAGGUGAAAACUUGUAGCUCAACCAUAAGCUUGCCUACGAAACUGAUUAACUAGAGUACUGGAGAGGUGGACGGAACUACACGAGUAGAGGUGAAAUUCGUAGAUAUGUGUAGGAAUGCCGAUGAUGAAGAUAGUUCACUGGACAGAAACUGACGCUGAAGUGCGAAAGCUAGGGGAGCAAACAGGAUUAGAUACCCUGGUAGUCCUAGCUGUAAACGAUGAUCGCUGGGUGUGGGCAGGAAGACUGUCUGUGCCGAAGCUAACGCGAUAAGUGAUCCGCCUGGGGAGUACGACCGCAAGGUUGAAACUCAAAGGAAUUGACGGGGACCCGCACAAGCGGUGGAGCAUGUGGUUUAAUUCGACGCAACGCGAGGAACCUUACCAGAUCUUGACAUCCUCAGAAUCGAACAGAAGUGUUUGAGUGCCUUCGGGAACUGAGAGACAGGUGGUGCAUGGCUGUCGACAGCUCGUGUCGUGAGAUGUUGGGUUAAGUCCCGCAACGAGCGCAACCCCUAUCGUUAGUUACCAUCAUUAAGUUGGGGACUCUAGCGAGACUGCCUGCGAAGAGCAGGAGGAAGGUGGGGAUGACGUCAAGUCAUCAUGCCCCUUAUGAUCUGGGCUACACACGUGCUACAAUGGAUGGUACAAAGAGGAGCGAAAUGGUGACAUGGAGCAAUCUCAAAAGCCAUUCCCAGUUCGGAUUGAAGUCUGCAACUCGACUUCAUGAAGUUGGAAUCGCUAGUAAUCGCAAAUCAGCAAUGUUGCGGUGAAUACGUUCUCGGGUCUUG